AGCGGCGGACGGGUGAGUAACACGUGGGUAACCUGCCCAAGAGACUGGGAUAACACCUGGAAACAGAUGCUAAUACCGGAUAACAACACUAGACGCAUGUCUAGAGCUUGAAAGAUGGUUCUGCUAUCACUCUUGGAUGGACCUGCGGUGCAUUAGCUAGUUGGUAAGGUAACGGCUUACCAAGGCAAUGAUGCAUAGCCGAGUUGAGAGACUGAUCGGCCACAUUGGGACUGAGACACGGCCCAAACUCCUACGGGAGGCAGCAGUAGGGUAUCUUCCACAAUGGACGAAAGUCUGAUGGAGCAACGCCGCGUGAGUGAAGAAGGGUUUCGGCUCGUAAAGCUCUGUUGGUAGUGAAGAAAGAUAGAGGUAGUAACUGGCCUUUAUUUGACGGUAAUUACUUAGAAAGUCACGGCUAACUACGUGCCAGCAGCCGCGGUAAUACGUAGGUGGCAAGCGUUGUCCGGAUUUAUUGGGCGUAAAGCGAGUGCAGGCGGUUCAAUAAGUCUGAUGUGAAAGCCUUCGGCUCAACCGGAGAAUUGCAUCAGAAACUGUUGAACUUGAGUGCAGAAGAGGAGAGUGGAACUCCAUGUGUAGCGGUGGAAUGCGUAGAUAUAUGGAAGAACACCAGUGGCGAAGGCGGCUCUCUGGUCUGCAACUGACGCUGAGGCUCGAAAGCAUGGGUAGCGAACAGGAUUAGAUACCCUGGUAGUCCAUGCCGUAAACGAUGAGUGCUAAGUGU
rnacentral:rRNA from 1 species